rnacentral:lncRNA from 1 species
AAUAUGUAAAAGAUUGACUUCUAUAGGGAAAAUACUGUAUACAUAGAUCUGCGGCUUUUAUCUGCUACCAGAUUACCGUUUAUAACACUACAGUUGUGUACACUUGCUUUAUCAUGACUAACUUCAAUCUUCCUCUUGCAAUGGAAAUUUGAACUUUUUAGUUCACACGCUGAAAUACCGACCGUGCAAGAUCUUCAUUGCUAGUUUGGUUCGUACACGAUAAAAUGUCUCACCUGAUUUACUGACCAUUAAUCUUAUGUUGAUAGUAAUCAAAGCGCUGUA